rnacentral:misc_RNA from 1 species
UAUGGGACAGCACGAAAGUCAUAUUUAUUUUGGCAUUUUUAGAACAAACAUGCCUUGUUUAUUCGAAAGGCUAAAAUAAUAUGUAACAACAAGACUUUUGUGAAGUUUAUCUCAUUUUUUGACAAAAAUACAUAUGGGACGGACUAGAUUGGAGCGGCAGUAAAGUACGAUAAUAAAUAUUGUUGUGUGAAAGUGAGGCUGAAAUAAUUCGGUCUGUGGGAACCUACUUCGGGUUUCCAGGGACGUGUGUACACUGAAGAUUAAAAUUACGACCAAAAUGUGUCGAUGGUACACAUUGGAUGGUUUAACCGCGUUGUUUUGAAAUCGAUGUGUCGAUUCUACACAUCGCGCUGGUUUUUGCUCAAAAAGCCAUCCAAUGCGUAAACUGCUCUGUUGCCUGCUUCACCAUAGUUGCCGUUGGGUGUCGCCACCAGUGUCAGACUUAGACGUCAAACGGAAAGGAAAAAAAACAUGCGGUUUUUGUGCAAGUUAGUUUGGUGAAUUUUCUGCAUAUUUGAACGCACUCGGUCGCUUGCAAAUAUGAAGCAGAAGGUGUUCGAAUCGGAUGCAUCCGGAACCUCUGCCGAAAGAUGUUACGCUGGAUGGCAGCUUACUGUCCAUCCGGCGCCAGACGAAAUGGUGCAGCAUUUCAAAACAUGGCCCGGCAGAUUGAGCAGCGGACCAGGUUCGAAUUGGAACUCGAGCAGUGGAUCUAACACCUACAGAAGUGCCGGACGCGGGACGAUGCUCAACGUGGUCAACCGGUAACCAAGACGGAAAAGUCGAUGCUUGCUGCUCGAACCACAUCCUUGUGCCUUGAGGGAGCUGUACACCCGCGCUUAUCGGAACCAUCAGUUCCGACGCACCACAACAAGGAGUCGCUGCUGGCAUUCCGCCAAAAUAUCCGGCCACAUUUCAUCCUACGGGCGGCUCGGUCAGCUGAACUCGACCUGGAAUCCACUACAGCUGGCGCACAAGUCGAGCGACCGGUCGAUAGCGCGUUCACCGCUCACGUGGCACACCCCGCCCAACCACCAGGACCAGCUUUAAAACUUCAUGUCCGCAAACCACAAGAAGAAUCUUGACAGCAACCAAUACUGCAAACGUUUGGUCCGGCUAGCCGCUGAGUUCGGUCGUCGGCGGAACGGAUUCGCGUUUUCUUCUAUACGCUGAACAACUCAACGUCAAUAGCCUCGACUAACAAUUUGUGUCCAGGCAACAACAAGUUCGAGGGCGCGGUCCUGCCACCGUCCCCACCGGAACGAUCCCCGCAGAGAGCGGGUAAAGCCGGCAACGACCGUGCGCGAUCCAGCGAGUGGACAAGAUCGAGAUCGAAUCGAAUGUGCAAGUUGAUUCGGCCGCCGCGAGCGAAAGGAACGAAGCGUCCACUCCAUCUUCCGCAUUCCGACGACCGCCAAGCAACCGUCCCGGUCGCCACAGGGCGUCACCUUAUUGACGUAGCACGACAACCGAGCAGCAGCACUACCAAGAAAAUAACCCGCCGCCACCGCAGCUAGCAGUCGCGCAACCCACUUCUGCGCAGUUGCAGCCAACAUGUCCCAGCCAUAACAGCAGCAGUAGCAGCUUGGCGCUUACAGGAGAUGAACGUAAAACCGAACAUUUUGGAGUUGAUGAAUCCCCGCGAACAUGCUCGGAACCGCAAUGAUGAACCCGAGCCGUUCUUCGGCUCACUCUCGAUGGUGUACCAAGUGACCAGGAAGCGCGGUCGUAUCAACAAGGUAGGGAAGCGCACUGCGAGAUCUUCUCCGUUGACACCGGUCACCGGUUGGUGGUGCCCUGGUAGGAAAUUUGCUACUUGCCGCAGGCGCUGUGCGUCGGGCCGGCCUUGUACAUUGAUGCGCGUGCGACCGUUCAAGCAGCACGGCUACCGUGGACGGACGAAGCCAAGCGGUACUUUAUUCGGACGGCUAGCGUGUCGUACGUGUUUGAGGCGUUUGUCGGGGACCGACAGCUAAAGGAGAGCUCCUACGAGAUUUUCAUGAAGCGGCACGACAUUUGCGUCAACGGGAUGGUGAAGGAGGGAUUCGCCGUGUCGAGUGGGUCCGUAUCGGCGGUCGUCGAGCGCAUCAAGGAGGACAUUCCGGAGAAAGAUGAUGAGGGGGCGGUUGUGGUUGUGAGGGUGGAGGCGGUCGAGCAAAAGUCGGUUAAGGAAGUAGGGAAUCGAACGCUGCGCAGACAAAGUACGAAAGCCAGCAGCGGACCAAGUCAGUGCUGACGGUGUCGAUUCUGCGGUUGGUCGAUCCGGGUGAGUUGACGUGACGUUGCAGCAGGACGGGGAUCGAGCGAAUGCAGAUGGAAUUCCAGAACGUGGUGGAGGACAAGGAGCCGGGUGACAAGGCGGACUGAAAGAAGGGCGAGUACUGUUUGGUGUUUCCGACGAUAGUUUCGAAGCGUCCGGUGCUUCCUGGCGUGCGUUGGUCCCAUUGGUAAUUAACAGUCGUGGAGUUCGUCGGUCAUUGACGCGUUCAAGGUAACGUGCGGCAAGUUCAAGCGCUUCUCCAUCUCGCUGCACGGACCCAGCUUUCACGGCGCCCUCCCCGUCAUCUUGUAGGGCAUGACCGAGUAAAAUGUCAAGGCGUUGUACCCGCAGAUGUACCUGUACACCAACAUCAACAACCGGUCAAUACGGCUACGUCCACCUCAAGGAGAAGUUCAAGCCCCGGAGGCGGAGACGGCCUCCAUCGAAGAAGAACUCCAGCGUUACCAUCAAUCCUUUGACAAGUUCCUCGAAGAGCUGGACGUGGACAUGAAGGAGGAAAAACCUGAUCCACAACAGCAGGAAGACGACAACCUGACGCACUCGUGCGGAACCUACCAGGACGACAUUACGGACGAGCACACGCCAAUCGACUGAUGGCUCCCAGCUCCCAGCCAAACCCAUCGAAAAGAACAUCUUCGUAGGCAAACCCGGCUACGUGGACAACAACGGCCUCAUCUACCUGGGGCAGGAACCGGUGUUGAACGCCCUGCGUAAGGUAAUCAACGCCAAGUUCGCCGACAGCAGCGCCAUUGACAAGUUCUACUCGGACAACGAACCGUGCAUGGCCAAGUUCCACCAGGACAACAAGUUCUACCGCGCGAUCGUCCGCAAAGCUAUCCGCGGUCGCCGCUACAAGGUCCAGUUCAUCGACUACGGCAACCUAAUCAACCUGAUGAUGUACAAUUUGAUGGUAAGUUAAUCUGCAAAAAUAUGUCAAAAAAACAAUGCGAUAAAACUUGAAUGUACCACUUAGGACCACACCUCCGCGUCUUCUGGGAGCUAUCAACCCGCAGUCCUAAGAACCGUCCGUUCCGACGCGACCACAACAAGCAGUCACUGCUGGUACCUGGCCAUGAUCGACUGCCCCGAAAACUCACUCCUCGGGGCCAACCA